CAGUCGAGCGAGCUUGCCUAGAUGAUUUUAGUGCUUGCACUAAAUGAAACUAGAUACAAGCGAGCGGCGGACGGGUGAGUAACACGUGGGUAACCUGCCCAAGAGACUGGGAUAACACCUGGAAACAGAUGCUAAUACCGGAUAACAACACUAGACGCAUGUCUAGAGUUUGAAAGAUGGUUCUGCUAUCACUCUUGGAUGGACCUGCGGUGCAUUAGCUAGUUGGUAAGGUAACGGCUUACCAAGGCAAUGAUGCAUAGCCGAGUUGAGAGACUGAUCGGCCACAUUGGGACUGAGACACGGCCCAAACUCCUACGGGAGGCAGCAGUAGGGAAUCUUCCACAAUGGACGAAAGUCUGAUGGAGCAACGCCGCGUGAGUGAAAAAGGGUUUCGGCUCGUAAAGCUCUGUUGGUAGUGAAGAAAGAUAGAGGUAGUAACUGGCCUUUAUUUGACGGUAAUUACUUAGAAAGUCACGGCUAACUACGUGCCAGCAGCCGCGGUAAUACGUAGGUGGCAAGCGUUGUCCGGAUUUAUUGGGCGUAAAGCGAGUGCAGGCGGUUCAAUAAGUCUGAUGUGAAAGCCUUCGGCUCAACCGGAGAAUUGCAUCAGAAACUGUUGAACUUGAGUGCAGAAGAGGAGAGUGGAACUCCAUGUGUAGCGGUGGAAUGCGUAGAUAUAUGGAAGAACACCAGUGGCGAAGGCGGCUCUCUGGUCUGCAACUGACGCUGAGGCUCGAAAGCAUGGGUAGCGAACA
rnacentral:rRNA from 1 species